GCUCCUAUAGCUCAGCUGGCAGAGCGCAAGACUGAAGUUUUCAGUCAUUCUUGAGGUCACCUGUUCGAACCAGGUUGGGAGCA
rnacentral:tRNA from 1 species